GAAAUGCGAUACGUAAUGUGAAUUGCAGAAUUCAGUGAAUCAUCGAAUCUUUGAACGCACCUUGCGCUCCUUGGUAUUCCUUGGAGCAUGCCUGUUUGAGUAUCAUGAAAUCUUCAAAGUAAAUCUUUUGUUAACUCAAUUGGUUUCUACUUUGGUAUUGGAGGUCUUUGCAGCUUCACACCUGCUCCUCUUUGUUCAUUAGCUGGAUCUCAGUGUUAUGCUUGGUUCCACUCGGCGUGAUAAGUUAUCUAUCGCUGAGGACACUGUAAAAGGUGGCCAAGGUGAAUGCAGAUGAACCGCUUCUAAUAGUCCAUUGACUUGGACAAUACUUUUAUGAUCUGAUCUCAAAUCAGGUAGGACUACCCGCUGAACUUAAGC
rnacentral:misc_RNA from 1 species